GAUCCUGGCUCGGGAUGAACGCUAGCUACAGGCUUAACACAUGCAAGUCGAGGGGAAACGACAGAGGAAGCUUGCUUCCUUUGGGCGUCGACCGGCGCACGGGUGAGUAACGCGUAUCCAACCUUCCCGCAAGUAAGGGAUAACCCGUAGAAAUGCGGCCUAAUACCUUAUGUUUUCCUUAGAGGGCAUCUGAUGAGGAACAAAGAUCCGUCGCUUGCGGAUGGGGAUGCGUCUGAUUAGUUAGUCGGCGGGGUUAACCGG
rnacentral:rRNA from 1 species